CCAAAAGCCUUUCUAAACAAACAGUAGCUGGAAAAUGCUGAAAAUGAAUAAAUGGAAUCCCUGUCCUUAAAGACAUCCCAGCCUGGCAGAAAGAUGGAUAAGUAAACAACAGUGGGGUGCAGGAACUGAUACUGACCAUUGAUGGGCACAAAGUAUUAUGGGAACACAGACAGCAGGCACUAACCUGCUUUAGGAAUGCCUGGGAUGAUUUACUAAGAGAACUGCCGUGAAGGAUGGCAACUUGGAUCGGCCCAGAAGCCUUCCCUGGUACUCACCCAGGGCCUGAUGUAGAUGUCACUCGGUGGUCCCAGCAGCUUGUCACAGCUGACAGCACACUGCUUAUUAUUGGUUUACUUGUUCACCUUUCUCCACAAAAUGGUAAGCUCCUUAAAAGUAGAAACUUUGUCAUUGUAUCUACAGUGCCUGCUGAUGCAUAAGAACUAUCUGACAAGUAAAUAUAAGGAGUCUAGGAUGAUGAAAAUACUUCUUCUCUAAGACGGGCUGAUGUUUAAAGACAGUAUUUUAUGUCUGUACCAUGAUAUGUUUAAAGAAUGUGUAUUCGUGUUUGAAAUGCCAAUACCAAAUAUUAGAUGCAAGCACAGGGUCGGGAACCAUGGGAGACAAACAAGACACAAUCACUGCUCUCCAGAAACUUACAGUGUAAACUGGAGGCUUCACGGUCCCCACCAGGAUCUAAACAGGCAUAUCUUUCAUGUGUUUUUAUUUUGGAGUUCCACAAAACACUUUUUUUGAAUACAGAGCUCCAUUUCGUUAAAAAAAUUGACAACUCUGAUCAAGUAAAUAAGAAAGCUGCUUAUAGGUAAUAGAGUUUCCCCUUCCUUUUUAAGAUUAGAAGGAAAUUUAGAUGAAAGGAAUUGAGAAUUUACAUUUUUAGAUGAUGUGUUCAUAUUUCUUUGGAUUUCAUCUUAGUUUUCCCUCACCAGUUGCCUUUUAGCACCUUUCUAAUAGGCAAUCUGUAGCAAUGUACAGAUGUUUACAAUAAUGAAAGUGCUCAUUCUUUCCUAUAUACUGCAAUAUCACGUAUUUGCUACUAUCCAGAAAAAGGUUCUACAUAUAUCCUUUCUAAAGUUACUGUGAAGUAUCUUCAAGAACUAUACUUCAUGACGGUUAUUCUAAGGUGUUUAAUUCAAAACCACUACCUAAUUUCUCUAUAGCAUGUGGAAUUUAACAUCCCAUUUUCAAAAUAGAAUGGUUUAAAAUUAAUUGACUUAAGGAGCUGCAGACCCACAUACAGUGAAUCUUCUAUGAGGUUUACAGGAAAAAUGAGCCAAAAGACAUAUAAGUACAGUAUUCUUUAUUAUAAACAAUCAGAUAACAGUAUAAGUGUGCAUUUGAUGGAUAACCGAAGCCAAGUUAUUAUAAUAGAAAGCAUGACUUCACUCAAAUAGACAGUUUCUUUGUUGUUGUUAAUCUGUUUUACAUUAAUUUGAAUUUAACAUAUGCUAGGAUCACCUAAACUUGUCAUACAGUUCUGCUAUUAAAAUCGUAACAGGGAAAGACAAAAUGUGAAAUGCAUGUUAUAUUUUGCUUUAUUUGUUGAAUAUAUAUGUGUGUGUGUGUGUAUAUAUAUAUAUAUAUAUACACACUAAAUAUUUGGGACACAAAGUUAAGCAGGUGCUUACAGUCUAUCAAGUGAUAUUUAUGAAAUGUUUUUGUUGCUGUUUUGUUGCUGUUAUGGGAACAUCCAUAUCCUUAGAAGACAAUAAAAAAGAGGAUUCUAAAUGCUAGAUGGUUGGCUAACUUCUCCUGAUUUAUACUGAGUGUAAAACAAAACAAAACAAAACAUAAGGUAUAUGUGUUAAGUAGUGACAUCUUUAUAGUUCCAAAGCACUCGCAGCUAUUAAAAUAUCAUCUAGCUAAAACAAACUUUUCACAAUUUUUUAACAGAAAAAUAAUAAACCAACAACAAAAACUGAUCAAUGUUCUGGGUCUUGUGAGCAGACCGAAAUGUUACUACAGUGUUCUCUAUUGUGUGAUCCUUGUCCGUGGCAACCUUAAACGUGUGCUGCAGUGCUGAUGUAUUUAUAGGCUUAGCAUGUCUGCUUUAUUAGUUAUCCUGGAAAGAAUGCUAUUCAGUUUUUUUUUUAAUGUCUACAUCAAGGAAUGAAUGCUAAAUGAGCCCAUUUAGCAGCCUGAAAUCAAAUACUGCAUUUAUUUUUUGAAACUCUUGGUAGCAAAAGAAAAAGCUGAUUAAAAUAUGAUUGUGUUACAAUGACUAAAGGGUUAACUUCUCAUUAAUUCUAAAUUCUUCAAAAUGUACAAGCAUCAUAAUAAAGGCUUUUGAUGAGACAUG
rnacentral:lncRNA from 1 species